GAAAAAGUCCCAAGUAUUAAAAUACCAAUGGACAUCAUGGAGCCUUUCCUAAGUGAUAGCAAACCUGCCGACACGUGUUUAUACUGGUGUGUGCAUCUAAACAAGCCUUUGGGAAACUGGGUUUCACCAGGACAUGAGGGAACACACUAAAAGCUUCGUCCAAAAAUUAAAAUAAGAAGAAAGAAUCCCCGGGCUGUCCAGGUGAAUUCCCUGAUGGAGACAACCCCACUGCAGAGGAAGGGCAUGUGCUGCCGCUUGGUCCUUGUGAAACCAAAGUUCCUGUUGGUGAAGUCGAGAGGAUUUUCUGAUGGUGCUGAGACCUUAAAUGCCAAAUUUGAGCAUCUGUUCCCACGAAGGAGCCGUCCCCUCUGUACAUCCCCCGCUCACUCUCAAGGGGUCUUCGCUUCCGUUUCCAUGAAAGCUGUGUUGUAUGUCACAGGAACGCAGCUGAAACCUGCUCUGAAAAGGCUGGAGAGACGUGGGAAAAGGCCUGAAGAGGAGCAGCUCAAUCCAAAUUGGGUAUUUCGUAGGAAAAGCCUGGGUGGGCGCUUCAGGGAAUAGGUGUGGAGGCUGACCCAAAGCCCUCUGAGAUCAGAGUCGGCCGUCAACAACGACCUUCCCCUCACAAAUCCAAGGUCCCAGCUCCCGGUGGGACCCCUGACGGCCACCAGCCACAGCCAGCUUUGUCCCAGCUCCGGGAACACGGUGGCCACCAGCCUCUGGCCUGCUGAUACACCUUUGUAUUUGGAUUUUGAUUUUGAAUCAACAGCACUUUCAGCUACUUUUAUUAUUGUUUUUAAUUCUCCUAAGUCUGUAUUUGCUUUGGAGGAGAGAAUGAAAACUUGGGAUGAAAUGAAGUGGAUCAGGAUGGUGGAACAAAAAGGAAAAAAGCAGAAAACGUUUCAAAUCUUAUUCAAGUGAUUUUUUUUCCCAGUAAUAGAAACCGUGAAAUUCCUUAUAACAUUGUAGUAUUUUACAGUUUUAUGAAGCUUUCUAUUGUGACUUUUAUGGAAUCAAAAGAUGAUGAGAUAUUUUAGCAUUUCUAUUUUUCAAAAUUAAAUGUCUACUGAAAAUAAAGUAGCUUUAUGCAUUUA